UCACCAAGCGAAAAUCCCGUGCAACUGCGGCGGAUGUUGCUGAAAUUGCUUGGGUUUCUCGGUCA
rnacentral:tRNA from 1 species